rnacentral:rRNA from 1 species
UACGUAGGGGGCGAGCGUUGUCCGGAGUUACUGGGCGUAAAGCGCACGCAGGCGGUCUGCUAAGUUUGGAGUGACAGUUGGUGGCUUAACUGCCAAAGUGCUUCGAAAACUGACAGACUUGAGGGCUUCAGAGGGACACGGAAUUCCGGGUGGAGUGGUGAAAUGCGUAGAGAUCCGGAGGAACACCGACGGCGCAGGCAGCGUCCUGGCCGCUUGCUGACACUGAGGCAC